UACGGAGGUGGCAAGCGUUGUUCGGAAUUACUGGGCGUAAAGGGCGCGUAGGCGGCGGUACAAGUCAGAUGUGAAAGCCCCGGGCUUAACCUGGGAAUUGCAUCUGAAACUGUAGUGCUUGAGUUCUGGAGGGGGUAGUGGAAUUCCCAGUGUAGCGGUGAAAUGCGUAGAUAUUGGGAGGAACACCUGCGGCGAAGGCGGCUACCUGGACAGAAACUGACGCUGAGGCGCGAAAGCUAGGGUAG
rnacentral:rRNA from 1 species